CUGCAGCCCCCUGGGUCUGUGCAGUGACCAGCCAGUCCCCUGAGAACUUUCCCUUCCAGCACCCGGGAAAUGAGGCUUUGGAUCGCAAUUGUUUUCAUUGUAGCAUCUUUGGAAAGUGUCCAGUCCCAGGUGCAGCUGGUGAAGUCUGGAGGGGAUGUGAAAAACCCCGGAGACUCUCUCUGCCUCUCCUGCAAAGCCUCUGGGUUCACCUUCAGCAGCCACCAUAUGCAUUGGAACAGAGGGUCCUUGCAUAUGCAUUGGGUCCAUCAGGCUCCUGGGAAGGGGCUGGAGUGGGUGGCUCAGAUUAAUACGGAUGGAUCGAGCCAGUGGUAUUCGCCGGCUGUUCAAGGGCGAUUCACCAUUUCCAGGGAUAAUCCCAACAACCUUCUGUAUCUGCAAAUGACCGGCCUGAAGCCCAAGGACACUGCCCUGUAUCACUGUGCAAAAGACACAGUGAGAGGAAACCUGUGGCUUCUCAUACAAAAACCAGAGCUGCGGACAGCAACGACACAAGGAAAACUCUCCUGCCUUGGGCGCAAGAGGGGGAAGGUGCGUGAGGAUUGA